ACGAACGCUGGCGGCGUGCCUAAUACAUGCAAGUCGCACGCACUCUCGUUAGAUUGAAGAAGCUUGCUUCUGAUUGAUAACAUUUGAGUGAGUGGCGGACGGGUGAGUAACACGUGGGUAACCUGCCCUAAAGUGGGGGAUAACAUUUGGAAACAGAUGCUAAUACCGCAUAAAACCUAGCACCGCAUGGUGCAAGGUUGAAAGAUGGUUUCGGCUAUCACUUUAGGAUGGACCCGCGGUGCAUUAGUUAGUUGGUGAGGUAAAGGCUCACCAAGACCGUGAUGCAUAGCCGACCUGAUAGGGUAAUCGGCCACACUGGGACUGAGACACGGCCCAGACUCCUACGGGAGGCAGCAGUAGGGAAUCUUCCACAAUGGACGAAAGUCUGAUGGAGCUACGCCGCGUGAGUGAAGAAGGUUUUCGGAUCGUAAAACUCUGUUGUUGGAGAAGAACGUAUUUGAUAGUAACUGAUCAGGUAGUGACGGUAUCCAACCAGAAAGCCACGGCUAACUACGUG
rnacentral:rRNA from 1 species